rnacentral:rRNA from 1 species
GACGAACGCUGGCGGCGUGCCUAAUACAUGCAAGUCGAGCGAACAGACGAGGAUCUUGCUCCUCUGACGUUAGCGGCGGGCGGGUGAGUAACACGUGGAUAACCUACCUAUAAGACUGGGAUAACUUCGGGAAAGCGGAUCUAACACCGGAUAAGAUAUUGAACCGCAGGGGUCAUUAGAGAAAGACGGUUGUGCUGGCAGUUAUAGAGGGAUCUGCGCCGGAUUGGGUAGUUGGUAAGGUAACGGCUUAGCAAGGCAACGAUGCGUAGCCGACCUGAGAGGGUGAUCGGCCACACUGGAACGGAAACACGGUCCAGACUCCUACGGGAGGCAGCAGUAGGGAAUCUUCCGCAAUGGGCGAAAGCUUGACGCAGCAACGCCGCGUGAGUGAUGAAGGUCUUCGGAUCGUAAAGCUCUGUUAUUAGGGAAGAACAAAUGUGUAAGUAAAUAUGGCCGUCUUGACGGUACCUAAUCAGAAAGCAACGGCUAACUACGUG